rnacentral:rRNA from 1 species
CCUACGGGUGGCAGCAGUGAGGAAUAUUGGUCAAUGGCCGCAGGGCUGAACCAGCCAAGCCGCGUGAGGGAUGACGGUCUUAUGGAUUGUAAACCCUUUCUGUCAGGGAGCAAAGGGCGCCACGUGUGGCGUUUUGCGUGUACCUGAAGAAAAAGCAUCGGCAAACUUCGUGCCGUCAGCCGCGGUAAUACGGUGGAUGCGAGCGUUAUCCGGAUUUAUUGGGGUAAGCGGGAACGCAGGCGUAAUGUCAAGUCAGCGGAAAAAUUUCGGGGCUCAACCCCGUCGUGCCGUUGAAACUGGCGUGCUUGAGUGAGCGAGAGGUAUGCGGAAUGCGUGGUGUAGCGGUGAAAUGCGUAGAUAUCACGCAGAACACCGAUUGCGAAGGCAGCAUACCGGCGCUCAACUGACGCUCAUGCGCGAAAGCGUGGGUAGCGAACAGGAUUAGAUACCCCUGUAGUC